GGGUAGUGCCCUAUAGAAGAAGUGAUGUAAUUCUUGUGACACCUCAGGCAGCUCUGUGAGAGGGCUAUGAUAGAAAAAUAAGACUGACACUCCCCUCUUUAUGGUUUCCUAAUCUUGCCAUGUGACUGUUCCUACAUGGGUCCCACCAUUGUGAUGCCAUCUCCCAUUGUGAUGACACAGCCAAUGUCCCUCACCAGAGCCAAGCAGAUGUUGGUGCCAUGCUCUUGAACUUCUAAAAAUGUCAGCUGGCCUUGAUGCUCCAAUGGUUGAGACAUUCCCAAGUGAGUCUGUGCCUCAGGUUUCACUCUGCAGGUGUAUUUGUGCAGUCACAGGAGGAAGGGAGGCGCAUCCUCCACUGCUGCUUGUCACCAGCAUGGUGGUCUCCAAGAGGACGAGGACUUGUCCAUCCCCAAUGACCUGAAUGGUGCUUGGCACAUAGUGUGUGCUCAACAAACAUUGGCUCAAUGAUUGGCUUGGAUGAUUGAAUAGUUGUCAGUUCCCUACUCAAUGAUUUUCAGUCUUUAAACCCCCUUCUCUGCCUUCCCUGUUCUAUAACACUUAUUGGGUCCCUACUGUGUGCCAAGAACAGGCUAGAGGAAAUGUACUUUCUUUUGGGGUGAUGAAACGCUUUGAAACUAGAUAAAGAUGUGUUUGCCCA
rnacentral:lncRNA from 1 species